rnacentral:rRNA from 1 species
CUACGGGGGGCUGCAGUGGGGAAUAUUGCACAAUGGGCGCAAGCCUGAUGCAGCAACGCCGCGUGAACGAAGAAGGUCUUCGGAUCGUAAAGUUCUUUUCUUAGGGAAGAAAAAUGACGGUACCUAAGGAAUAAGCACCGGCUAAAUACGUGCCAGCAGCCGCGGUAAUACGUAUGGUGCAAGCGUUAUCCGGAAUCACUGGGCGUAAAGGGAGCGUAGGCGGUUUUGCAAGUCAGAAGUGAAAGGCUACGGCUCAACCGUGGUAAGCUUUUGAAACUGCAAGACUAGAGUGCAGGAGAGGCAAGUGGAAUUCCUAGUGUAGAGGUGAAAUUCGUAGAUAUUAGGAGGAACACCAGUGGCGAAGGCGACUUGCUGGACUGUAACUGACGCUGAGGCUCGAAAGCGUGGGGAGCGAACAGGAUUAGAUACCCCUGUAGUC